UACGAAGGGGGCUAGCGUUGCUCGGAAUCACUGGGCGUAAAGCGCGCGUAGGCGGCUUGUUAAGUCAGGGGUGAAAUCCUGGAGCUCAACUCCAGAACUGCCUUUGAUACUGGCGAGCUUGAGUUCGGGAGAGGUGAGUGGAACUGCGGGUGUAGAGGUGAAAUUCGUAGAUAUUCGCAAGAACACCAGUGGCGAAGGCGGCUCACUGGCCCGGUACUGACGCUGAGGUGCGAAAGCGUGGGGAGCAAACAGG
rnacentral:rRNA from 1 species